AUAUUGCACAAUGGGGGAAACCCUGAUGCAGCGACGCCGCGUGGGCGAUGAAGGUCUUCGGAUCGUAAAGCCCUUUUCUGUGUGACGAGCAAGGACGGUAGCACAGGAAUAAGUCUCGGCUAACUACGUGCCAGCAGCCGCGGUAAAACGUAGGAGGCAAGCGUUAUCCGGAGUUACUGGGCGUAAAGCGCAAGUAGGCGGUUGUACAAGUUGGUUGUGAAAGCGCCCGGCUAAACUGGGCGAGGCCGACCAAGACUGUAGAGCUAGAGAGUGAUAGAGGGGCGCAGAAUUCGGGGUGUAGCGGUGAAAUGUGUAGAGAUCCCGAGGAAUACCAGUGGGGAAGCCGGCGCCCUGGGUCAUAUCUGACGCUGAGAUGCGAAAGCGUGGGGAGCGAACGGG
rnacentral:rRNA from 1 species